rnacentral:rRNA from 1 species
CCUACGGGUGGCAGCAGUGGGGAAUAUUCGACAAUGGGCGAAAGCCUGAUCCAGCCAUGCCGCGUGUGUGAAGAAGGCCUUCGGGUUGUAAAGCACUUUCAGUGGGGAAGAAAGCCUUGGGGCUAAUACCCUCGAGGAAGGACAUCACCCACAGAAGAAGCACCGGCUAACUCCGUGCCAGCAGCCGCGGUAAUACGGAGGGUGCGAGCGUUAAUCGGAAUUACUGGGCGUAAAGCGCGCGUAGGCGGUCUGAUAAGCCGGUUGUGAAAGCCCCGGGCUCAACCUGGGAACGGCAUCCGGAACUGUCAGGCUAGAGUGCAGGAGAGGAAGGUAGAAUUCCCGGUGUAGCGGUGAAAUGCGUAGAGAUCGGGAGGAAUACCAGUGGCGAAGGCGGCCUUCUGGACUGACACUGACGCUGAGGUGCGAAAGCGUGGGUAGCAAACAGGAUUAGAUACCCUUGUAGUC